CUACAGAAAUAAUUGUUGGCUUUGCAAAAUGACCCACCUCCUGGGAUGACUUUAAAUGAAAAGACUGUUCAAAAUUCAAUUACACAGUCAUGUUUACCAGUGAAAAUAUUCCUGUUCAUCCUCAUGAUUAUAGCAAUGGUCAUACCUGUUUAUCCAUUCUAACAGAAGACUGGUUCCCAGCGCUCUCCGUCCAAUCAGUUUGUCUUAGCAUUAUUAGCAUGCUUUCCAGCUGCAAAGAAAAGAGACGACCACCAGAUAAUUCUUUUUAUGUGCGAACACGUAACAAGAAUCCAAAGAAAACAAAAUGGUGGUAUCAUGAAGACGCUUGUUGAUGCCACUG
rnacentral:lncRNA from 1 species